AAUCACCUCUCCUAUUUGCGCAGGCGCAAAGGGUGUCAGCUGGGCCGUGAGGAAGGACCAACAUGGCGGCUUCCACGCGCGUCCUGCACAGAGCGAUGGCUCCGUCUUUGGUGGUGAUUUUGGGAGCUACUGGUACCGGGAAGUCCAAGCUGGCUAUUGAGAUCGGGAAACGGCUCCACGGAGAAAUAAUCAGCGCGGAUUCUAUGCAGGUGUACGAAGGGCUGGACAUCAUCACCAACAAAGUGAGCGCAGAGGAGCGUGCCCAGUGCAGACAUCACAUGAUCAGCUUUGUGGACCCGCUGGUGAGCAGCUACACAGUGGUGGACUUCAGGAACAAAGCCCUUUCCCUGAUAGAGGACAUGCACAGCAGAGGCAAACUGCCGAUCAUCGUGGGAGGAACCAACUAUUACAUCGAGUCGCUGCUGUGGAGGGUCUUGGUGGAUACAGGCGUGAAGGAGGACUCGACGGAUGAAGCAGAUGAAACUCCAGACAGGAAAAAGAAGCUGGAGAACCUGGGAGGAGCUGAGCUGCACAAACGACUGGCUCAGGUUGACCCCUCCAUGGCCGCCAUGUUGCACCCCAACGACAAGCGCAAGAUAGCCAGGAGUCUGCAAAUCCACGAGGAGACGGGCAUCCCUCACAGCCGUUGGCUGGAGCUGCAGAGGGGGCAGGAGGGAGGAGGUGGUCUUGGGGGUCCACUGAGGUACAGAGAUCCCUGCAUCCUCUGGCUGCAUGCAGACAUGGAGGCUCUGGAUAGACGGUUAGAUGAUCGAGUUGAUGAGAUGCUGACUGCAGGACUUAUAGAGGAGCUCAGGGAUUUCCAUACAAGAUACAACAAGCAGAGGAUUCUGGAUGACAGUCAAGACUACCAACAUGGGAUUUUCCAGUCGAUUGGUUUUAAGGAGUUCCACGAGUUCCUAACUGCGCCUGAAUGCAGCGCUCCCCAGGAGAAAGAGGCUCUGAGAGAGCGAGGUAUUGAAGCUUUGAAGGUUGCAACAAAACGCUACGCCCGCAAACAGAACAAAUGGGUUCGUAACCGCUUCCUUCAACGUCCAGGAGACAACGUCCCAGCCGUGUACGGCCUGAAUGUGACUGACUUGUCGAGGUGGGAGGAGGCCGUGUUGACCCCUGCACUGCAGAUCCUGGAGAAUUUAAGGAAGAGCUCCUUCUCUCUAGAACGUUUGUUCUUGUCCGGUCCACAACAGAGUUUAUUUCCUCCUUCAGCUUCCUCUGUUUCACAGGUGCAAAAGCUCACCUCAGAAUGUGUUUCUCCGUUAACUUGCAAAUGAAUUCUGUUGCAGUCCGAUUCAGUGUGAAUUCACACAGACAAUCCGUUAGAGCAAAGACAAGAAGUGUGGAGGCGCUUGUUUGUGUUGGAUAAAACACUGGUACCCAACCCCUGGGCUGUGGACUGGUACCAGGCCAUGGGACAGUUGGUAUUGGACCCCCCCCACCCCCCCCCCCCACCCCCACCCCACCCCCAAAAAAAAACCUGACCUUGAUUUUUUUCAUUUCUGGUUUUGAAGGAAGUUUUAUUUUGAAAAACUACUGGAUUCUCUCUACUACAUCUGACUCCUUCUUCACAUGUCGCUCCGUCACGUGUUGAAAAUCCAGCGUUAAUUUCUUAAAACAACUGCAUUUACAGCUAAAUGAAAACCCCCAAGCUAGUAAAGUUAACAAAAAAACAACAUAUUUGGACAUUUUCUUUGUGUAGAAAAGAGCAAGAGAGGAAAAACGAGAAGAGUCUUUGACUUCAAAAUAAAAGAAAUCUGCAUUUAACAGACAGACAAAAACCUGGAGUCUUUCUUCAAAUACGGAUUUAUUGUUCCCACAGACCAUAAUAAUAAUGCAGAAUAUUCAACAACCGGCUGUUUAAAGUUACAAGGAUGCUGCUAAUAAAGUUGUUCAAACAGUGUAUAGAGAUAUAUAAUUAUAUUAUAUUUACAAAAUACCAGUUUUCGUGACAUUUUCUUCUUUUUUUCUUUCUUUUUCAUAUUUAUCCAUCACACCGUAAAAAUCGGACGAAGCUUAAGUUGAUUAUUUUAGCUUCCACUGUGACAGGUUUGGGUUAAGGGAGAAUCUAUAUCACAUUUUAAUGGUCCCUAUAUGAAAACUAGUGCACUACUAAAGUUUAAAGCAGCUGCAGAGAUUUUAUAAAGGAUGAAGUUAAACUUUUCUCUCAAAAGUUUAUGGACACUGGAGGUGACAAAAAAAAAUCAGGCAUCAACUUCAGCCUUGUCCAUGAAAAUAUUGUCAAUCUAUUUUAAUUUUUCUGGUCCGUGGCCUGAAAGCGAUUGGACUGCUAGAUUAGGGGAUCCGCUGGUUUCUUCUUUGCGUCUUUUUUCUCGUUUCGGAAAAUGUUGCCCCAAAUUGGUCAUCCCUCAGAACUGCACAUGUUUCCAAGUGGUUCGGACCGCUUCGGUCCUUCUGACAUUUCGGUGUUUGUCAGGGCGAGGAGCCGCCAGUUGCACCAGUCAGAAUCCAGAAAGGAGAGCAAAGGAACAAGCGAAGCUUCCACACCUGUGAUCUGUGUGACAAAGUCAUCAUUGGUGACCUGGAGUGGACAGCUCACCUGAAAUCCAGGAAGCAUUACUACCACGUGAGGAAGAAGAGGAAGUCGGAAGAAGCUUCCUCUCAGGACUGCUGUGGUGCUGCUGCUCCAGAUUGCAGCGGAGCCGCUCAGGACUCCUUAAAAGACUGCACACUGACACACACGGACGUUACCGUCACACUCUGAAAACUGCUCUUCAGCUUCCCAACACCACUGUGCCUCAGGAUGCUGCAGAGACCUGCUGCAUCCAUCCAUGUCUGCAGUUGAAGAAAUGUUCACAUUUCCCUUUUUAAUAAAUUAUUUUUAAUCUCCUUU